rnacentral:lncRNA from 1 species
CAAAAAAGUCAUCCAAAUUUUGAUCUCCACUUUCAUCUGAUUCAUUGCAACUUUCCAAUUCCAUUUUUGUUUUGGCGACAGUUAUAAUGCAUUUUUUUAUAUCUUCUAUAGUUUUUUGGGAUUUUUUACGACAUUGUACCACGAAAGCUUAAAUUUAGGAAGAACUGCAGCUAUAAUUGGAUCUUCCCAUUCCAAAUUUAAAAUGUUUGCAAAACGAGUAUUUAAGCUUUCAAUGCACAUUUUUGCUAGAUGUUCUCCUCCAUAUUGUGUUGCGCCUACGUUAGGUGCAUUAUCGCCGGGCGAUAAAUAUUUAAAAGUAUCCGAAUAUCAAAAAAAGUAUCCGGAUGCCGGAUACUUUAAAAUUUGAUCACGGAUACGGAUACCGGAUA